CCUACGGGAGGCUGCAGUGAGGAAUAUUGGUCAAUGGACGAGAGUCUGAACCAGCCAAGUAGCGUGAAGGAUGACUGCCCUAUGGGUUGUAAACUUCUUUUAUAUGGGAAUAAAACGUUCCACGUGUGGGAUUUUGUAUGUAUCAUAUGAAUAAGGAUCGGCUAACUCUGUGCCAGCAGCCGCGGUAAUACGGAGGAUCCGAGCGUUAUCCGGAUUUAUUGGGUUUAAAGGGAGCGUAGGUGGAUUGUUAAGUCAGUUGUGAAAGUUUGCGGCUCAACCGUAAAAUUGCAGUUGAAACUGGCAGUCUUGAGUACAGUAGAGGUGGGCGGAAUUCGUGGUGUAGCGGUGAAAUGCUUAGAUAUCACGAAGAACUCCGAUUGCGAAGGCAGUUCACUGGACUGCAACUGACACUGAGGCUCGAAAGUGUGGGUAUCAAACAGGAUUAGAUACCCUAGUAGUC
rnacentral:rRNA from 1 species